UACAGAGGGUGCAAGCGCUAAUCGGAAUUACUGGGCGUAAAGCGUGCGUAGACGGUAGCGUAAGUCGGGUGUGAAAGCCCCGGGCUCAACCUGGGAAUUGCAUUCGAGACUGCUCUGCUAGGGUGCGGAAGAGGGAAGCGGAAUUUCCGGUGUAGCGGUGAAAUGCGUAGAUAUCGGAAGGAACACCAGUGGCGAAAGCGGCUUCCUGGUCCAGCACCGACGUUCAGGCACGAAAGCGUGGGGAGCAAACAGG
rnacentral:rRNA from 1 species